AUCACUUCUCAGCCUUGUGGCUACAAUCAAGUGUAAUAUCUCUUCUUAUCAGUUGAAUAUCUGUUACGUCCUCUAUCCGAGGACCAUCUAUUAAAUGGGGUGAUGGAGCAGGGAAUUGGAAGAGGAGCUUGCUCUGUCCACUCCACACAACGACCUGGUAUUGCAGGAACAGUGCCCCAUCU
rnacentral:snRNA from 1 species